AACGAACGCUGGCGGCAUGCCUAACACAUGCAAGUCGAACGAGACCUUCGGGUCUAGUGGCGCACGGGUGCGUAACGCGUGGGAACCUGCCCUUAGGUUCGGAAUAACUCCCCGAAAGGGGUGCUAAUACCGGAUAAUGUCUUCGGACCAAAGAUUUAUCGCCUUUGGAUGGGCCCGCGUGGGAUUAGCUAGUUGGUAGGGUAAAAGCCUACCAAGGCGACGAUCCAUAGCUGGUCAGAGAGGAUGAUCAGCCACACUGGGACUGGGACACGGCCCAGACUCCUACGGGAGGCAGGAGUGGGGAAUAUUGGACAAUGGGCGAAAGCCUGAUCCAGCAAGGCCGCGUGAGUGAUGAAGGCCUUAGGGUUGUAAAGCUCUUUUACCCGGGAUGAUAAUGACAGUACCGGGAGAAUAAGCUCCGGCUAACUCCGUG
rnacentral:rRNA from 1 species